UACGUAGGGUGCAAGCGUUGUCCGGAAUUAUUGGGCGUAAAGAGCUUGUAGGCGGUUUGUCGCGUCUGCUGUGAAAUUUCGGGGCUCAACCCCGAACUUGCAGUGGGUACGGGCAGACUAGAGUGUGGUAGGGGAGACUGGAAUUCCUGGUGUAGCGGUGAAAUGCGCAGAUAUCAGGAGGAACACCGGUGGCGAAGGCGGCCUGCUGGGCAGUAGCUGACACUGAGGCGCGACAGCGUGGGGAGCAAACAGG
rnacentral:rRNA from 1 species